AUGUGUUGCUGAUUAGUCAUUAAAUAAAACACUGAUUGGCCAUUGGCUAGGCAGGAAGUGUAGGCGGGACAAGGAGGAGAAUAAAGCUGGGAAGUGGAAGGCUGAGUCAGAGAGACGCUGCCAGCCACCACAAUGAGAAACAGAAUGUGAAGAUACCGAUCUGUUUGGAGCGGCACCUGGAGGAAGCCAGAAGUACUCAGGGGCCCUGACUCUUCAAGAGAAACCCUGGGUGGGCGGCCCCUGGUCCCAUUCCUCCCUUCUGCAUGUGUGGUUGUUUGGGGAACAGUUCCUGGGGAAUGGGUGGCUCUCCAGAUGGUCAGAGAGGAAAUCAGAGAAGUUUCAUGUACUCCAUCUGCCUGUGUGUACCAUGCCCACCAUCCCCAGCCCCCAGCCCGCCCAGAGCCUCCAGUUCCCACAGACAGAUGCCUUUGAACAAGCCCCCUCUUCACUCUCCUGGGAGCCCCAUUUUCCCAGCUGGCCAGCUGUCAAGCCCAUGAGCUACUGGUUCUGCGUCAUCACGUGCUCCAGGCCAGAUGGUACCUGUCAACAUCAGCUGCCAUGCUGCUAUGACGGGCAGCAGCCUCACACAUGUCCCUGUGCGUAAGAGGUACGGCCUGGCCCAGCUUCACUCCCUCUCUGCCCUACUCUGCACCCCACCCUAAUGCCGUCACCACCCUGCCUACAUGUGUCCUCAACAUGCCCCCACAGGGAGACACUCUGUGCUCUAGCUGCAGAGGGGAAGGCCCACGGAGUAUUCUCAGCACCUGGCAAGCCGUGGGAGCUGAAUAAAGGUUAAUCAUGAGCAUGGCA